rnacentral:rRNA from 1 species
AGAGUUUUGGUCCGAUGCGGUAAAUUGCUAAACGCAGUUUCGGUUGUGGAUUAGUAUAAUCUCAAUGGUUAGAUUAAAUUAGUGGUCUCGAUCGUGAGGCUGUAAUUCGCCCGUGGAUCUUGGGUUGGGUAAGGUGUUUAAUAGUAGUAGAGAUAAGUAAGGUGUUUCUUUUCUUCAACUUACCCUGAACAGCGGAACUGUUCGAGUUGUUUCAAGCUGCGGCCAAAAAGAACUCCAGCCGGUAAGAGGUGGCCCUAACCCAGUCUGACCUUAUAGAAGCUUCAGCCGCUUCUUUGCCCCUCCUGCUACCCAAGCUCCAAACCCUAGCUUCCUAGCCUACGCGUCCCCGAGCGAGCAUGGAUCGGAUCGUCGGUAGCAAGUACAAGCUGGGCCGCAAGAUCGGGAGCGGCUCCUUCGGGGAGAUAUAUCUCGCCACGCACGUCGACACGUACGAGAUUGUAGCCGUGAAGAUCGAAAACAGCAAAACCAACCAUCCCCAAUUGUUAUACGAGGCCAAACUGUAUAAUGCUCUUCAGGGAGGGACUGGUAUUGCAAACAUAAAAUGGUGUGGCAUUGAUGGCGAAGAAAAUGUUCUUGUUAUUGAUUUGCUUGGGCCAAGCCUUGAGGAUCUGUUUGUUUAUUGUGGCCGGAGAUUCUCACUGAAGACAGUUUUGAUGUUGGCAGAUCAGAUGAUAACAAGAAUAGAGUUUUUGCAUUCUAAGGGGUACUUGCACAGGGACAUCAAGCCCGACAACUUUCUUAUGGGCCUUGGUCGGAAAGCUAACCAGGUCUACAUCAUUGACUUCGGACUUGCCAAGAGAUACCGUGACUCAACCACGAAUCGCCAUAUACCCUAUAGAGAAAAUAAAAAUUUGACUGGCACAGCUCGCUAUGCAAGUUGCAACACUCAUCUUGGGAUUGAGCAAAGCCGAAGGGAUGAUCUGGAGUCCAUUGGAUAUGUUCUCUUGUAUUUUCUAAGGGGAAGUCUUCCUUGGCAGGGUUUAAAAGCUGCGACAAAGAAGCAGAAAUAUGACAAAAUAAGUGAGAAGAAACUUUCAACACCUAUCGAGGUUUUGUGUAAAACCCAUCCUGUGGAAUUUGCUUCUUAUUUCCACUAUUGCCAUUCAUUGACAUUUGAUCAACGGCCAGACUAUGGUUUUCUGCGACGGCUCUUUAGAGACCUGUCGGACCGUGAAGGGCACCAAUUCGAUCAUGUCUUUGACUGGACAUUGUUGAAGUGUAAGCAAACCCAGAAGGUGAAGGCUCAACAGCAAGAUCCUGGUGUAAGUAGCAGGCCGGUUGCAAAGAAUAUGGACAAACACCAAGCUGAAGCUUCUUGUCAGCUUGAAGCAGAACAACGCCCAGUAAUCAGAAUGCAAAUAAGAUCUACUGCUGAGAACAGCCGUUCAAAUAAUCGACAUUCUGAUAAAUUGAGAGUGAGUGCUAGCACUGAUAAGGAAUUGCUGCAAUCAACAUCAUUUGGCCAUGCUGGUGCCCCAAGGAAGAACGUAUCAAUCUCCAAAACACCAUGGCUUGUCGAUCCCAACUCAGGACCUUCAAACCACCUUUAGCACUCAGAUCAGUUAGUUCGUAUGUUCAUGCCGGUCUAUUUAGUAACCAUUGAGGGGAUACUGUGUGCCCCGCCAGACAACGAGCCCUCACUCCUGGACUGGUGGCAAUCGGCAUGACAAUCCGCCGCAACGCCCAUGCGCAAGGGCCUGGGUACCAUGACCCUUGUCCCCUGGAUGAUAUGGAAGCACUGCAACGACUGCGUCUUCAACGGAGCGCGCCCAUCGGUGAACGCCCUGCUAACGAAGAUCAAGGAAGAGGCCUCCCUUUGGGCAAGCGCAGGCGCACUAGAGCUUAGAGCCAUUACCCCCCGACAUGGGAUGUCCAUUAAUCGAAUAUCUGCCUCCUAG